AUAUACAGGCUGUCUUGUUUCCUUUCUCAUGUUAUUUUAUUUUACGUAUCAUCUUUCCAGGAAUGAAAGGACCUAUUGGAAUACCAGGCUCUCCUGGCCCUGAUGGGGAACCAGGCCUUCCUGGGCCCCCAGGUACAAUUGGUCCUCCAGGAGAUCCAGGAAGAAAUGGACUCCCAGGCUUUGAUGGUGCAGGAGGGCGCAAAGGAGACCCAGGUCUGCCAGGACAGCCAGGUAAAAUGACUAAAACAGUGCUUCUGGUUGUGAUGUUUAUACUUUCA
rnacentral:lncRNA from 1 species